GCGGGCGUAACUCAGGUGGCAGAGUGCCAGCUUCCCAAGCUGGUCGUCGCGGGUUCGAGCCCCGUCGCCCGCU
rnacentral:tRNA from 1 species